rnacentral:rRNA from 1 species
AGUGAACGCUGGCGGUAUGCCUAACACAUGCAAGUCGAACGGCAGCACAGUAACAUCUUGCUCUUACGGGUUGCCAAUGGCGGACGGGUGAGGAAUACAUCGGAAUCUACAUUUUCGUGGGGGAUAACGUAGGUAAACUUACGCUAAUACCGCAUACGACCUACGGGUGAAAGCAGGGGAUCUUCGGACCUUGCGCGAUUGAAUGAGCCGAUGUCGGGUUAGCUAGUUUGCGGGGUAAAGGCCCACCAGGGCGACGAUCCGUAGCUGGUCUGAGAGGAUGAUCGGCGACCCUGGAAGUGAGACACGGUCCAGACUCCUACGGGAGGGAGCAGUGGGGAAUAUUGGGCAGUGGUGGCGAGCCUGAUCCAGCCGUACCAAGUGGGUGGAGGAGGCGUUGGGGUUGUAAAGCCGUUUUGUUGGGAGAGAAAAGCAGCCGGUUAAUACCCAGCUGUUCUGACGGUACCUAAAGAAUAAGCACCGGCUAACUUCGUG